rnacentral:tRNA from 1 species
GCCUGGGUGGCUCAGUGUGUUAAGCAUCCGACUUCGGCUCUGGUCAUAAUCUCAUGGUGCGUGGGUUCGAGUCCCACACUGGGCU